CAGCCGCCGCGGUAAUACGGAGGGGGCUAGCGUUGUUCGGAAUUACUGGGCGUAAAGCGCACGUAGGCGGCUAUUCAAGUCAGAGGUGAAAGCCCGGGGCUCAACCCCGGAACUGCCUUUGAAACUAGAUAGCUAGAAUCACGGAGAGGUAAGUGGAAUUCCGAGUGUAGAGGUGAAAUUCGUAGAUAUUCGGAAGAACACCAGUGGCGAAGGCGGCUUACUGGACGUGAAUUGACGCUGAGGUGCGAAAGCGUGGGGAGCAAACAGGAUUAGAUACCCCGGUAGUCCCUGUCUCUUAUAC
rnacentral:rRNA from 1 species